GAGUUUGAUCGUGGCUCAGAGUGAACGCUGGCGGUAGGCCUAACACAUGCAAGUCGAACGGUAACAGAUCUUUCGGGAUGCUGACGAGUGGCGGACGGGUGAGGAAUACAUCGGAAUCUGCUCAGUCGUGGGGGAUAACGCAUGGAAACGUGCGCUAAUACCGCAUACGACCUUCGGGUGAAAGCAGGGGAAUCUUUAGGGAUCCUUGCGCGAUUGAAUGAGCCGAUGUCGGAUUAGCUAGUUGGUAGGGUAAAAGCCCACCAAGGCGACGAUCCGUAGCUGGUCUGAGAGGAUGAUCAGCCACACUGGGACUGAGACACGGCCCAGACUCCUGCGGGAGGCAGCAGUGGGGAAUAUUGGACAAUGGGGGCAACCCUGAUCCAGCCAUACCGCGUGGGUGAAGAAGGCCUUCUGGGUUGUAAAGCCCUUUUGUUGGGGAAGAAAAACAACGGGUUAAUACCCCGUUGGUAUGACGGUACCCAAAGAAUAAGCACCGGCUAACUUCGUGCCAGCAGCCGCGGUAAUACGAAGGGUGCAAGCGUUACUCGGAAUUACUGGGCGUAAAGGGUGCGUAGGUGGUUGCGCCAGUCUGUCGUGAAAGCCCUGGGCUUAACCUGGGAAUGGCGAUGGAAACUGUGCAACUAGAGUGUGACAGAGGGUGGUGGAAUUCCUGGUGUAGCAGUGAAAUGCGUAGAGAUCAGGAGGAACAUUCGUGGCGAAGGCGGCCACCUGGGUCAACACUGACACUGAGGCACGAAAGCGUGGGGAGCAAACAGGAUUAGAUACCCUGGUAGUCCACGCCCUAAACGAUGCGAACUGGAUGUUGGGUCCAACUUGGGAUUCAGUAUCGAAGCUAACGCGUUAAGUUCGCCGCCUGGGGAGUACGGUCGCAAGACUGAAACUCAAAGGAAUUGACGGGGGCCCGCACAAGCGGUGGAGUAUGUGGUUUAAUUCGAUGCAACGCGCAGAACCUUACCUGGCCUUGACAUGCACGGAACCUUU
rnacentral:rRNA from 1 species